AAAGUAGAUAAGAAAAGACUUUAAUGAGGGCAGCACAGAGGGAGUCAUCACAGAGAAGGCUGUGGCAGCUCUCUGCAGACAAAGGGUCCCUGCCUCAACCUUCCAUCUCUGCUGAGCCAGGCCCUGUGAUACCCUGGGGCACGAAUGUGACCAUCAUGUGCCAGGUUGAUGGGGACUUUGAGAUGUUCCACCUGGAGAAGUGUUCCACCAGGAUUUCUUACAGUGUUCAGGAUGAGAGGAGCACUUCAUCUUUCCAGAUGGAGGCCAGAUUCCCCCUCACUUUGAUGAAUGCUGCAUCUAUCAGAAAUUCUUUAUCUGGUCUCCAUGCAGGAAGAUGCUGGAGCUGGUGGUGACUGAUGCAGAUAUCACCCAGACCCCAAUCCCCACAGCCUCAGCUGUGCCCUCAGGUUAUCAUUUAUCUGGACCGUGUCCCAGCUGCCACCCUCUGUUUCCCAUGCCCCCUCCUGACUCCAAGCCUCUCCCCUUCUCAGCUAACCUGUCCCCUCAAACUCCCUGCCCCAAGGGUGCAGGGGCUUAUCACUGAGGCUCUUGUGGAGAACAGAUGAAAUGAGAGAUUGGACUCUAGCACUUGAGUGUAGACCCUGGUCCUCUUCCUUUUCCUUCUGUUCGCUGUCUCGGCAAGUAAACAAAAAGCAUGGGGACGGUGCUGCCCAGCUCA